GUAAUUUCCUCACAGGCUCUGAUGAAGAGGCAAUGCAACCACCAAUCAUUAAAUAAAAUUGGGCACCUUUGAAGAUUACAACAAUUUAAAACAAUACUUUGAGGUAUGCAACAGCUAUAAAGACGGAUAUCCCAUGGAUAUGAAUAACACCAUCUGCAUAGGAUGGAGUGCACAUCAGGUGCCUCAGAGUGAAAUCUCCUGUUUGUAAUUUAUCGCUGAUAUCUGGCCAAUAUUGAGCACAUUUGUUCUACAAUUUAAGAAAUAAUACUUAUCAUAU